rnacentral:lncRNA from 1 species
UCAAAUCCACACUUCCCUCCCACAGGAAAACUGGUGUCUUCAACUCCACCGUGACCUUUUCGGAAAGCUUUGACCCUUUCUGAGAGGGGAGAAGAGGAAGGCGGAGAGUCAAUCAAGGAUGUUAUAUGAAGGGCUUCUGAGAUAAAGAAUGGAAUUAAACAAUGAGAGUUGAUGUUUAAAUCUUUCCAAACUGAUGAAGGCAACAUAGGAAAUGAGAGAAUGGGAGGAGGUGUCAUGGAAGUCUCUACCGCCUUUUCUUGUCCAAGAAAGGCCAUUCACCCAGGAGGUGUCUUUGAUGAUCCACAAAGCGGCUCUGUGAACAGGUCUACUUCAUCCAGAUUUCAGCUCUCUGAGGUGGAGGUCUCCACUGCACCUGGGGCUCUGAGGACCAGCCAGGGCCAUCCACAAUUUUGAGCUCUCACGUGGAGUUCAGGAUCAGCCCCCAGGCAAUGAAGAGAGAAGGUGGCUUUAUUUCUUCAAUAGAUUCCUCAUAAACAUCAAAGUGCAUAAUUGAAGAAAAGGAAGAUGCACACACAGUGGGUCUAGGUAAACCAUGAGUAGGAGCACCUGGGCAUUAAAUAUUGGAACUUGGUAGAGUGGGCAGAGCUUAGUGGUUGAGUGACUACUUCCCAGGUACAAGGCUUACUGGAAAUUGGGGGGAGGGGAGAGGAAGGUUGUGAGCUGACGCCUACAUGGGUGAAAUCUAUGAUACAGUGGAGGUAAGCAGUCGUGCAGGGAAGGGAUAAAAUGGGGACACAGAGAUAUUAUUGGGUGGGGAUUUGUAGGCUUGAGCAGGGCUAGGGAUGUGAGGAUGGGUCAGAUGGUCCAAGGAAUUGGGGGGAAGGUUGGGAGGAGCACAUGAACAUGGGAGAUUGUUGAGUAUGUGGUUGAAAGUAUAAUGCUGCAAAAACUCUUUAGAAAAUAUAAUAGGGAAUGGUAGCUUGUUUAAGGUGUUUAAUGUGGAGUAUCUGGCACAGGGGCAGGCUUCUAGGGAGUGUGUGAGUGCUCACCUUGUCCUCCUGUGUUAUAUCAUGGGGUGGAGACCCAUACAAUGAGUAGGAAGGCGUACCCCCAUCCUGGGGAGCCUGAUGUUCUCAAACAGAGGGAAGGGUGUCUCUUGAGAGCACUGGUGGCUCCCAAAUGCAGGAGGACAAUCUAGUAUGUCAAGCCCUCAGCAUUGUGGCAAGUAUCUAUGAAUCUGGUCCAUCAAGCAGUGAAGCUGUGGGCCCUGAGGGGAGGGAAAGAGAAGAAUAGAAGAGAUAGAAGUGGGGUAUAACUGGGUGGCAAUGAAAGUGUUCCACAAGAUCAUGGAAUGAUGGAUAUUGGAC